rnacentral:rRNA from 1 species
AUUGAACGCUGGCGGCAGGCCUAACACAUGCAAGUCGAACGAGUGGCGGACGGGUGAGUAAUGUCUGGGAAACUGCCUGAUGGAGGGGGAUAACUACUGGAACCGGUAGCUAAUACCGCAUACCAUCCGGUGUGCCCAGAUGGGAUUCGCUUGUUGGUGGGGUAACGGCUCACCGCGGCGACGAUCCCUAGCGGGUCUGAGGGGAUGACCAGACACACUGGAACUGAGACACGGUCCAGAGUCCUACGGGAGGCAGCAGUGGGGAAUAUUGCACAAUGGGCGCAAGCCUGACGCAGCCAUGCCGCGUGUAUGAAGAAGGGCUUCGGAUUGUAAAGUACUUUCAGCGGGGAGGCGUUACCCGAAGAAGAAGCACCGGCUAACUCCGUGCCAGCAGCCGCGGUAAUUC